CUGGAGUGCAGUGGCAUGAUCUUGGCUCACUUCAACCUUCACCCCCUCCCCCGCCCCCUGCCGGGUUCAAGUGAUUCCCAUGUUUCAGCUUCCUGAGUAGCUGAGAUUGCAGGCAUGCGCCACCACACCUGUCUAAUUUUUGUAGAGACGGGGUUUCACCAUGUUGGCCAGGCUGGUCUGGAACUCCUGACUUGAAGUAAUCUGCCCACCUCGGCUUCCCAAAGUGCUGGGAUUACAGGCGUGAGCCACUGCGCCUGGCCCCUUCAGGUGGGUAUUGAGGCUUCACUACAAUACUAGUUCCCCGUUGCUGCCGCAAUAAAUUACCACACACUUAGUGGCUUAAAACAGCAUAGAGGUAUUCCUUUACAUUUCUGAAGGCCAGAAUUCUAAAGUCAGUCCCACUGAGUCAAGGUGGGAGCAGGGUCAGUGCCUUUCCAGGCUCUGCGGGAGAAUCCGUUUCCUGGCCCUGGAGGCGGCCUGUACUCCUCAGCUUGUGCUGCCCUUCUCGAAUGACUCGCGUUUCCUGCUUUCAUCACUACACCUCCCACCGCUCUCCAUCACCUGCUCUGCUCUUAUAAGGAUCCAGAGAAAUGGAAUAAUCUUAUUGCUGAUCUAUGUAAACAAGUUGAAGAAUUGUCUGAAAGAAAAUACAGUGUGUCUAAACUGGAAAAGUCCUGUAAUAGUUUGUUCAUGAGCAUUUACACAGUGGAGUUACUGUUCAUCAUGGGGGUACUGUGGACAAGCCCAGGGCUGCUGUAGAGACAAGAGUUUUUCCAUGUAGGCCCGGCUGGCCUCGAACUCCUGACCUCAAGUGAUCCACCUGCCUCCCAAAGUGGGAUUACAGAUACAUGAAGUUAUGAAUUUAAGAUGUGAAGAUUUACAGCUUGAUAAACCAGCUUCAGGAGACAUGAUCUUAUGAAUUCAACACAUGAAGAUUUACAACUUGAUAAACCAGCUUCAGGAGAUCAGAACUUCUUAUAAUACAACUGACGUUACUCAGCCUAGAACAAAUACAACAGGGAUUGUGCUGCAUUCUGACUUGGAUUCUGCCAUCGAACACAGAAUGCCCUGAUCCUUAGAUGCAGAGGCAGCUCUUCAGCCUAUGGGGGCUGCUGUAAAAUAUUACAGGCAUACUUUGGAGAUGUUACGGGUUUGGUUCCACAUCACUGCAAUAAAGCCUUCCAGAUAUACAGUCAUAUUUCUUAUAUUACACGACUCCAGCGGGAGGAAGAAGAGGCCUUUGCCAGCAGUCAGAGCAGCCAAGGGGCCCAAUCCCUCACAUUCUCCAAGUUUGAAGGAAAGAAAACCAACGAGAAGACCCGCAAGAUUACCACAGUGAAGAAAUCUUCAGUACGUCUUCCAGGGUCGGAUCAAAGAAGGCUGAAAUUCAGGAAGCAAAAGCUCCCAGUCCUUCCAUAAACCGGCAAACCAGCAUUGAAAUGGAUAGAGUGUCUAAGGAGUUCAUAGAAUUUCUCAAGACCUUCUGCAAGACAGGCCAAGAAAUCUAUAAACUGACCAAGCUGUUUUUGGAAGGGAUGCAUUACAAAAGGUGCCUCCAGAAUGAGUUGAGAAGAUAAAUGGAUCAGAUUGAAAAGUACAUCAUGACUCAUCUCUAUAAAUAUGUGUUCUGUCCAGAAACUACUGAUGAUGAGAUGAAAGAUCUUGCCAUUCAAAAGAGGAUCAGAGUGGAAGCUGCUCUGUGGUGUCAGAAAGACAAGGAAUGUGGUGACCUCACCUAUCCAUCUCCCUCAAGGCAGCUUUUGAGCCCUUCACUGGGUUACACCUCAGAUGCUGUGUGUCCCUGUUAAUGAAGACAUCCCAGAAGUGUCUGAUACGGUGUUGAAGGCAAUCACAGGGAUUGUGCUGCAUUCUGACUUAGAUUCUGCCAUCAAAAACAGAAUGCCCUGAUCCUUAGAGGCAGAGGCAGCUCUUCAGCCUAUGGGCUUAAGCUCUUGGACUCACUGAGGCAGUAAAAGAACCAUAUCCUGUGUUUGAAUCAAACCCCGAGUUCCUGUAUGUUUAGAAGGUUUGCCAGACAGGAUUCCCUUUUGAAGCCCUCCUGGUUUGGAAUUCCAUGACUUAAAAGGAUCGUCCGUGGGAGUAAUAACAUCAAGUCUGUUGGUAAAAACUUCGCAGUUUCUAAAAAGACCACGAAGCCCUGAGAGUAAUGAAAAGGUUCCUGAAAUUGAGGUCACUGUGGAAGAAGGAAACGUGUCAUGUACCAGCUAUCCAUCCAAUGACUGCCCAUCAGUUCCAUAUUCACCCUUCACUGCCUGAUCUGCAAACAUAGAGGAGAAUCUAAUGCCUGAUGAACUGUCAUUGUCUCCCAUCACCCCCAGAUGGGACCAUCUAGUUGCAGGAAAAGAAGGUCAAGACUCCCACUCAUUCUACAUUAUGUCUUCCUGUGUUGCCCAGGCUGGAGCACAGUGGUUUGAUCUUGGCUCACUGCAGUCUCAACCUCUCAGGCUCAAGCUAUCCUUCUGCCUCAGACUCUGGGGUAGCUGGGACAACAGCCUCAGCCAAGAUGUCUCACCCUACUCUCUAUGAUGCAACAAGAAGCCCCUGGGGAAUGUUUCAGUCCCAGUCUGUACUAUUGUCAUGUGCUCAUCACAGUCUGGUGGAAUUUAAAUGACCUUUUAUCAAGAUGGAUAAACGCAAGUUUCCCAGUGCUGGAAUACAGAAAAUGGAUGGACAACUGGAUCUACCAUGAAAGACUUCAGAGUCCAGGAAGAGAGACUGACUGGGCAACAUGUUAUUCAGUUACAAAAAGACUUGGACUAUGACUCAAAAAUGAUCAAAUAAUAGUUCAUGCAUCAAAUGCAAUAGGAAGUACUUCUGGAGGGUGAGAGAAGCAUCCAGUUAAGGUGACAUUGAAGCUGGGUCCUGAAAGAUGAGGAAGAAUUGUAUGAGAGUGGGCAGAGAAGGGGGAGGUGGAGGGAUGGGGAAUGGGCUGGGAUGGAGUGAGCUGCUCAAGUAGGGAGACCAGCACUGUAAAGACCUGGACGAUAAAGACGGCACAUUUUAUUCAGGGAAUGGUGAAUUAAGUGUGGCAGGAAUGCUUUGGAGAGAUAGUAAUUUGCUUGUAUGGAAUUUUGCCCAAGAGGCCUCAUUACAGUUUCUAAUCUUUUGAUGUUAUCAUCUAUCACUGUCCUUGCCAAAUAGUUUGGAAUAGGUAUAAUGAUCACAAUAACAUCAAGCAUAAUAUUUCAUUAAUUCUCACAAAAUCACAGGUAGGUGCCACAGUUAUCCCCAUUUUGUGAAUGAAGUGAUGAAGACUUAGGAAUAAUGAGUGAUUUGCCCAAGCUCACCUGGAUAUUAAGACUGAGUCAAAUGUGGGGUCUGGUCUGACUUUAAUGUUUGCUUUGUUCAUGAGCACCACGUAUUGCCUCUCCUAUGCAGUUAAGCAGGUAGACAGGUGAAAGAAAAGCCCAUGUUAGUCUCUACUCACACACUUCCGACUGAAUGUGUGUGUGGAAUUUCUACACCAAGUUCUCCAAUGCUCUGGAUAUUAACUGGGUAUCCUACAAUUUUAUUCUGACACUUCCUGGAGUUGGCGUAGACCCCACAGGUUACGGGCUCAGUCCCACAAGACCACCCUUGCUUCACAUUGCAAUGGCAAGUCCUAGGUUGUCACCUGCACUUUUGACCAACCUGUUACAAAUCAGGGGUUCCCAUGACCCCCUCUUGGGGUUUAAUCAUUUGCUAGAGCAGCUUACAGAACUCAGAAAAACAGUUUGUUUCCUUUUUUUCUGAGAGACAGGGUCUCAUUUUGUUGUCCAGGCUGGUGUGCAGUGGUGCAGUCAUAGCUCACUGCAGCCUUGACUGCCUGGGCUCAAGUGGUCCUCCCACCUCAGCCUCCCUAGUAGCUGAGACUACAUGCUUGCACCACCAUUUCUGGCUAAUUUAUUUUUUGUAGAUAUGGCGUCUUGUUAUGUUGCACAGGUUGGCCACAAAUUCCUGGGCCCAAGCAAUCCUCCCACCGCAGCCUCUUUGAAGUGCUGGGAUUACAGAUGUGAGCCACCACAUUUCCUAUUACUGGUUCCUUGUAAAGGAUACAUCGCAGAAACAGCUAAUGAAAGAGAUGUAUGUGCCAGAUGCAGUGGCUCACGCUGUAAUCCCAACACUUUGGGAGGCCGAGGUAGGAGGAUUGCUUAAACUUAGGAGUUUGAGACCAGCCUGGGCAACACGGUGAAACCCUGUCUCUGUAAAAAAUUUUUAAAAAGCUGGGCACGGUGGCUCAAGCCUGUAAUCCCAGCACUCUGGGAGGCCAAGGUGGGUGAAUCACGAGGUCAGGAGUUGAAGACCAGUCUGACAAACAUGGUGAAACCCCGUCUCAACUAAAAAUGCAAAAGUUAGCCAGGUGUGGUGGCACGCACGUACAAUCCCAGCUACUUAGGAGGCUGAGGCAGGAGAAUCGCUUGAACCUGGGAGGUGGAGGUUGCAGUGAGCUGAGAUCACACCACUGCACUUUAGCCUGGGCAACAGAGCUAGACUCUUGUCUCAGUAAAUAAAUUAACCGAGUGCGGUGGUGUGCAGUUACUAAUUCCAGUUACUACAGAACUAGACUCCAUCUCAAUAAAUUAAAUAAAUAAAUAAAUAAAUAAAUGAAUAAAUAACUGAG
ensembl:lncRNA LINC00174 long intergenic non-protein coding RNA 174